rnacentral:rRNA from 1 species
GACGAACGCUGGCGGCGUGCUUAACACAUGCAAGUCGAACGGAAAGGCCCUGCUUUUGUGGUGUUCUCGAGUGGCGAACGGGUGAGUAACACGUGAGUAACCUGCCCUUGUCUUUGGGAUAACUUCAGGAAACUGGGGCUAAUACCGGAUAGGAGCUCCUGCUGCAUGGGGGGGGUUGGAAAGUUUCGGCGGUUGGGGAUGGACCCGCGGCUUAUCAGCUUGUUGGUGGGGUAGUGGCUUACCAAGGCUUUGACGGGUAGCCGGCCUGAGAGGGUGACCGGCCACAUUGGGCCUGAGUUACGGCCCAGACCCCAACGGGAGGCAGCAGGGGGGAAUAUGGCCCAAUGGGCGGAAGCCUGAGGCAGCAAGGCCGCGUGCGGGAGGCCGGCCUUCGGGUGGUAAACCGCUUUCGCCUGGGACGAAGCGUGAGUGACGGUAAUGGGUAAAGAAGCACCGGCUAACUACGUG